rnacentral:rRNA from 1 species
UACGUAGGGGGCGAGCGUUGUCCGGAUUUAUUGGGCGUAAAGAGCGUGUAGGCGGCCAGGUAGGUCUGCUGUGAAAACUCGAGGCUCAACCUCGAGACGUCGGCGGAAACCAUCUGGCUAGAGUCCGGAAGAGGAGAGUGGAAUUCCUGGUGUAGCGGUGAAAUGCGCAGAUAUCAGGAAGAACACCCGUGGCGAAGGCGACUCUCUGGGACGGUACUGACGCUGAGACGCGAAAGCGUGGGGAGCGAACAGG